rnacentral:rRNA from 1 species
UACGUAGGGUGCGAGCGUUGUCCGGAAUUAUUGGGCGUAAAGAGCUCGUAGGCGGUUUGUCGCGUCGGCUGUGAAAACUCGAGGCUCAACCUCGAGACGUCGGUUGAAACCGUAUGGCUAGAGUCCGGAAGAGGAGAGUGGAAUUCCCGGUGUAGCGGUGAAAUGCGCAGAUAUCGGGAAGAACACCCGUGGCGAAGGCGGCUCUCUGGGACGGUACUGACGCUGAGACGCGAAAGCGUGGGGAGCGAACAGG